rnacentral:tRNA from 1 species
GCGGGGGUGGCCGAGUCAGGUCAAAGGCGCGGGAUUGAGGGUCCCGUGGCGUAGGCCUGCGCGGGUUCGAAUCCCGUCCCCCGCACCA